UACGGAGGGGGCUAGCGUUGUUCGGAAUGACUGGGCGUAAAGCGCGCGUAGGCGGAUCGGCAAGUUGGGGGUGAAAUCCCGGGGCUCAACCCUGGAAUUGCCUUCAAAACUCCCGGUCUUGAGUUCGAGAGAGGUGAGUGGAAUUCCGAGUGUAGAGGUGAAAUUCGUAGAUAUUCGGAGGAACACCAGUGGCGAAGGCGGCUCACUGGCUCGAUACUGACGCUGAGGUGCGAAAGCGUGGGGAGCAAACAGG
rnacentral:rRNA from 1 species